rnacentral:rRNA from 1 species
UAGGGAAUCUUCGGCAAUGGACGGAAGUCUGACCGAGCAACGCCGCGUGAGUGAAGAAGGUUUUCGGAUCGUAAAGCUCUGUUGUUAGAGAAGAACGUUGGUAGGAGUGGAAAAUCUACCAAGUGACGGUAACUAACCAGAAAGGGACGGCUAACUACGUGCCAGCAGCCGCGGUAAUACGUAGGUCCCGAGCGUUGUCCGGAUUUAUUGGGCGUAAAGCUAGCGCAGGCGGUUCUUUAAGUCUGAAGUUAAAGGCAGUGGCUUAACCAUUGUACGCUUUGGAAACUGGAGGACUUGAGUGCAGAAGGGGAGGGUGGAAUUCCAUGUGUAGCGGUGAAAUGCGUAGAUAUAUGGAGGAACACCGGUGGCGAAAGCGGCUCUCUGGUCUGUAACUGACGCUGAGGCUCGAAAGCGUGGGGAGCAAACAGG